rnacentral:rRNA from 1 species
GACGAACGCUGGCGGCGUGCUUAACACAUGCAAGUCGAGCGGAAAGGCCCUUUCGGGGGUACUCGAGCGGCGAACGGGUGAGUAACACGUGAGUAAUCUGCCCUGGACUCUGGGAUAGCCACCGGAAACGGUGAUUAAUACCGGAUAUGACACCUUGCUGCAUGGUGGGGUGUGGAAAGUUUUUUCGGUCCAGGGUGUGCUCGCGGCCUAUCAGCUUGUUGGUGAGGUAAUGGCUCACCAAGGCUUUGACGGGUAGCCGGCCUGAGAGGGUGACCGGUCACACUGGGACUGAGACACGGCCCAGACUCCUACGGGAGGCAGCAGUGGGGAAUAUUGGACAAUGGGCGGAAGCCUGAUCCAGCAACGCCGCGUGAGGGAUGACGGCCUUCGGGUUGUAAACCUCUUUCAGUACCGACGAAGCGAAAGUGACGGUAGGUACAGAAGAAGGACCGGCCAACUACGUGCCAGCCGCCGCGGUAAUAC